AUUGAACGCUGGCGGCAUGCCUUACACAUGCAAGUCGAACGGUAACGGGCCUUCGGGUGCCGAAGAGUGGCGAACGGGUGAGUAAUGCAGCGGAACGUACCCAUCAGCGGGGGAUAACUCCCCGAAAGGAGGGCUAAUACAGCAUAUUCGGCGCGCAGGAAAGCGGGGGCCCGGAAGGCCUCGUGCUGAUGGAGCGGCCCAUGUCAGAUUAGCUAGUUGGUGGGGUAAAGGCCUACCAAGGCGACGUGCCGUAGCGGGUCUGAGAGGAUGAUCCCCCACACUGGGACUGAGACACGGCCCAGACUCCUACGGGAGGCAGCAGUGGGGAAGUUUGGACAAUGGGAGCAACCCUGAUCCAGCCAUGCCGCGUGAGUGAAGAAGGCCUUCGGGUUGUAAAACUCUUUCGGCCGGGAAGAAAUCGCAUCUCCUAAUACGGUGUGUGGAUGACGGUACCGGAAUAAGAAGCACCGGCUAACUACGUGCCAGCCGCCGCUGUAA
rnacentral:rRNA from 1 species